rnacentral:rRNA from 1 species
UACAGAGGUCUCAAGCGUUGUUCGGAUUCAUUGGGCGUAAAGGGUGCGUAGGUGGCGGGGUAAGUCAGGUGUGAAAUUUCGGAGCUUAACUCCGAAACUGCAUUUGAUACUGCCUUGCUUGAGGACUGGAGAGGAGACUGGAAUUCACGGUGUAGCAGUGAAAUGCGUAGAGAUCGUGAGGAAGACCAGUGGCGAAGGCGGGUCUCUGGACAGUUACUGACACUGAGGCACGAAGGCCAGGGGAGCAAACGGG